GGUGAUCUCACGUAGGAUGCCUUCCAUGACGGGAGGCCCGGCGUCCCGCGUGGACAGCCCCAAGCCCAGGUUUCUCCCGGAGUCUCUGGAUCCCUCGCAGCUGUGAUGGUUGCAGUGAACCGCUUAAAAAAUCAGAGAGCGGCAGGUCAGAUCCCUGCGAGAGGAGCGAGCAGACCUUCUUGUUGCGAAUGCAGAGCAGGACUGUGGCCUUCUCCAGCACCAGGUGUUUGACCCACUGCGGCACACGAGACUGAAGAUCCUGCUUGUGCACCAGCCUCACGAUCAAAACAGACUCGACUGGUCCAUAUCAUCCAGUGUCUUCAUCGAAGUGAAAGCGCUCUCGAUAAAGCUCUGGUCCAUUGAGCCAUAUUUGUCUAGCAAGCAAGCAGACAUGGACAUCUCCUUGACUUCGUUCUCACUGUAAUGC